AGGUGCACAUAUAUCAGCAGCUAUUGGAACAAUUGCUGUUCUUCUCCUGGCUAUCAUCAUCGUCGUAGCCUUCCUCUGGAUUAGAAGAAAAAGGACACAACAGUCUGAGCUUGGAGGAAGUACGGACAACAGACCACAGCUAGGAAUGUGUCCAGUUAAUGACAGCUCAUC